UAAAAAAAUCUUAUUAAAUUUGUUAUUUAAUUAUUAAUUUAAUAAAAAUAAUUUUAUUAGAAAGGUUUUUGUAGUUUUUAGUGAUAAAAUAAUUUUAAUUGUAGUGUAUUAGUAUUGUGAAAGAAAGAUGAAAUAAAUUGAAAAUAAAUUAAUUUAAAAGAAAAUUUUAUUUAUUGUACCUUGUGUAUCAGGGUUUAUUAAUUAAAAAAUAUUAAUAAAUAUUUUUCUCGAAUUUAAGAGAGUUAAUUAAUUAUUUUAGUUAUUGUGGCAUAAAUAUUAAAAAUAAUUAAUUAGAAAUGAAAUGUUAUUCGUUCUUAAAUAUAUCUAGUUUUUUAAGAAAUAAAUUUAAUUUAUAUAUUUUUAAUUGUAAUAAUUUAAUUAGUUAAUUUAUUAUUUUAAAAUAUAAAUAUUUUAGGGGAUAAGCUUUAAAAUAAAUUUUUAUAAAAUUUAAUGUUAAAAAAUAAUUAUAGGUUUAGAAAUAGCCAUUAAUUGUAAGUAUGUUAUAAUAUAUUUUUGAUAGAUAUUAUUUAUUAAAUUUUUAAAUUUUUUAUUAAAAUAUUUACUUUAAUAAAAUAAGUGAAGGAAUAAUGAUAAAAUUAGUAUAUUUUAAUUUAUAAAUAAAUAAAAAUGAAAGGUUUUUUAAAGGAACUCGGCAAAUUAAAUAUUCGCCUGUUUAUCAAAAACAUGUCUUUUUGGUUUUAUUUAAAGUCUAACCUGCCCACUGAAAUUAUUUAAAGGGCCGCGGUAUUUUGACCGUGCAAAGGUAGCAUAAUCAUUAGUUUUUUAAUUGAAAGCUUGUAUGAAUGGUUGGACGAAAUAUUGACUGUCUUUAUUAAAUUUAUAAUAGAAUUUAACUUUUUUGUUAAAAGGCAAAAAUUAGUUUAAAGGACGAGAAGACCCCAUAGAGCUUUAUAAUUUUAUAUUAUAAUUUGUAAAGAAUUAUUUGAAUUUUAUUAAAAAGAUUAUUUUGUUGGGGUGACAAUAAAAUUUAUUGAACUUUUAUUAUUUUAUUACAUUGAUUUAUGGUUAAUUGAUCCAAUUAUAUUGAUUAAAAAAUUAAGUUACCUUGGGGAUAACAGCGUAAUUUUUUUAAAGAGUUCAUAUCGACAAAAAAGAUUGCGACCUCGAUGUUGGAUUAAGAAGUAAUUUUAGGUGAAGAAGUUUAAAGUAUUGGGUCUGUUCGACCUUUAAAUUCUUACAUGAUCUGAGUUCAGACCGGCGUAAGCCAGGUUGGUUUCUAUCCUUAAAUAAUUGAAAUAUUUUAGUACGAAAGGACCAAAUAUUUGAUAUAAUAAUAUUUUAUUUUAUGAAUAUAAAU
rnacentral:rRNA from 1 species